rnacentral:rRNA from 1 species
UACGUAGGGGGCAAGCGUUGUCCGGAUUUAUUGGGCGUAAAGAGCGUGUAGGCGGCCAUGUAGGUCCGUUGUGAAAACUCGAGGCUCAACCUCGAGACGCCGAUGGAAACCGCAUGGCUAGAGUCCGGAAGAGGAGAGUGGAAUUCCUGGUGUAGCGGUGAAAUGCGUAGAGAUCCGGAAGAACACCAGUGGCGAAGGCGGCCUGCUGGGCAGUGGGAUCGAAAGGUCCCUUUAACCGACACUGAGGCGCGACAGCGUGGGGAGCAAACAGG